UACGAGGGGUGCAAGCGUUGCUCGGAAUCAUUGGGCGUAAAGGGCAGGUAGGUGGUCUCAUUUGUCUGGGUGAAGCCCAGGGCUUAACCCUGGAACGUGCCCCAGAACGGUGAGACUUGAGUGCUGGAGAGGGUCAUGGAAUUCCCGGUGUAGCGGUGAAAUGCGUAGAGAUCGGGAGGAACACCAGAGGCGAAGGCGGCGACCUGGACAGUGACUGACACUCAACUGCGAAAGCGUGGGGAGCAAACAGGAUUGAG
rnacentral:rRNA from 1 species